UUGUACUUACGAUCUUGUAUCCACUGACUGUCUUGUUAGAUUAACCCAAUAAAUUUCAUUCACUCCGCAUACUCAAUCCUAUAGACACCCUUUUAAUCCUUCAAUCACAGACGUAACUUGAUUUUAUAAAACAGUCAAGAGUAUUCAAACCCACUUCAUUAAAAAUCCCGAUUCACCAUACAAUACUGACUUCAGUAGCGAUUGCCUCAGUCUUCCCAAAACUCUACGAAGAAGAAAAAUCCAAAUUCUAUGUCUUUCCUUCCCCGACCCGAAGCAUGAAGCUCCUCUCUCUAAUCCCUU
rnacentral:lncRNA from 1 species